UGGAAAUGAUGAAAAAGAGGUAUUUGGAUGUCUGUCUGAAUGGCAUGUGUGAUUGGGGGAAUUUUAUUCUAAUUAAAUUCUUAAUUUAUACUUUUAGUACUGCGCUAUUUGGGAGGGGGGAGUGUGUGUGUGUAAGUGUACAAAAGCUUCAAAAUGGGGGCACUGAUGGAUAAAGUGCUGAUUUUGGAGUGCAUCUGAGGCAUGCUGUAUUACAGCAUUGCCAAUGAUUAAAGACCAAGAUAAGCUCACCAGAUUAGUCUAGACAUCCUAAAAAUCUCUAACAGGUUCACUGAUAUAAGUGAUCCUGUGAUCUGAUCCAA